CCCUGAUGGUCUAGUGGUAUGACAGCGGUUUCGUAAACCGCAAGGGCGUGUUCAAUUUACACGUUUGGCUCCA
rnacentral:tRNA from 1 species